rnacentral:rRNA from 1 species
CGCGUGAGGGAGGGAGGCUCUUGGGUUGUAAACCUCUUUUCUCAAGGAAGAAUGAUGACGGUACUUGAGGAAUCAGCAUCGGCUAACUCCGUGCCAGCAGCCGCGGUAAUGGGGAGGAUGCAAACCUUAUCCGGAAUGAUUGGGCGUAAAGCCAAAUUAGGUGGCUGUGUGUGUCUAUUGUUAAAGAGUUUAAGGCAACCAAAUAAGGGCGGUAGAAACUACACAGCUAGAGUGCGUUCGGGGCAGAGGGAGGUCCUGGUGUAGCGGUGAAAUGCGUAGAGAUCAGGAAGAACACCGGUGGCGAAAGCGCUUUGCUAGGCCGCAACUGACACUUAGGGACGAAUGCU